GCCAUGUGAAUAAUCAGUUGAAAUUUUAUGUAACCACUGAUAUUCUGGUGCUCAAGGACAAAGAAUGUCACUCAUUUAGAGUGAACAUUUGAAAGUCGGCUCAGCAUAACUUUAAAUAAAAUCAACAACAAAAUCAAAGUAGUUAUUAGGUUUUCAAAAUUUUUCUUUGCAGACUUGUGCAGGAAGUGAACGAAGACCAAAACUACAUGAGGAGUUUAUGCAGCCAAACUAUGUUUGGACGGAUGUUCGUAUGUGAAGCCUUCAAUUGAAUUCCAAAAUUUACUACUGGUUAACGUUCUUUGUUGCUAGUACUGAAAAAUGGCUCUGAAACAGCAGUUAAGUUACACCAAUUUUCCGAUUUUGUGCAAAACUCUGGAGAAAUCAAGGGCAAAGCGGCUUUGCAUUGAAAACUUUAAAAAAUCUGAAAUCAAUUAAAAAGUUUCAUGCAUGCCCCUAGUGCCCAUAUUUCGCUGUCAUGCAAUGCCAAGAAAAACUUAUUUGAAAGAAAAUUAAUUUAAACUGAAUAUUUUUAACUUAUUUAAAAUUAAUAACCUAAAAAAUUAUGAAAAAAUAUAUAUACAUACAAAUAUAUGCAUUUAUAAAUAAAUUUUUAGUUGCAAUUUCUGCA